UAUAGCAUGAGGAUUAUAGUUAAUAAUGCUGUAUUGUGUACUUGAAAUUUGCGAAGAGAAGAGAUUGUAGGUGUUCUCACCACACACACAGAAAGCUUCCCUUGUAACUCUGCUGGCUUCCACUUGGAAGGAACUCUUUACUUUUUGGAAUUACAGAAUUUUGGGGGAGGACCCCAGACAACAGUCUCCUCCUGAUCUGGACUGGCCUCAAAUCCUGGUCUUCUGAGUCUCUGUUGACUGUUCUUCCCUACUAUGCCAU